rnacentral:rRNA from 1 species
UACGUAGGGGGCGAGCGUUGUCCGGAUUUAUUGGGCGUAAAGAGCGUGUAGGCGGCUUUGCAAGUCGGGUGUGAAAGCCCUCAGCCCAACUGAGGAAGUGCGCCCGAAACUGCAGAGCUUGAGUACCGGAGAGGAUGGCGGAAUUCCCCAAGUAGAGGUGAAAUUCGUAGAUAUGGGGAGGAACACCGGUGGCGAAGGCGGCCAUCUGGACGGAUACUGACGCUGAGACGCGAAAGCGUGGGUAGCAAACAGG